CAGGUCCUGUGGUGUAUCGAGGUGAUUCGAUUGGCUGUCGAGCAGGUGUUGACGAGAUACGAGAUGGCAAAAUUCCAAUUUUCUUCUCCCUCAAUGGACAGCUAGAGGUUCAAAUUUUGCUGGAGUUAGGAUCUGAUGAAUUAGAUCUUUACCCUUUUGUUGGAAUGAAGCAUGGAGGAAUUAGAGUACUAGCGAAGAUGUGUCCAGGGGAGGUCAAGUAUUCAGAAAGACCGCAGGAAAGCAUGAAAAGAAUUGAAAGAACCAUUGAAAUUCAAAAUAAGAGGAUAGAACGCAUGGAAAGUACUUUGUCAGAGAUUCUAAACAUUGUCAAGGUUAAUAAGGAAAAACAGUGAAACGGAUCUAUAAGGCUAUCCGUAGACGAGAUAUACUUAACUAGAAUUCGCUAUUGCAAAUUCACCUCGGUUUGGACCAAACUUUUGUUGCUUUAUGUAUUUUUUAGACCAAAAUAUAUAUAGGUAUCUCUUCGUUAUACUCAGGAUGAAAUUACUGCAGCUCUUCUCCAAAUUGAUGAAAGUUGCAGUGGCAGUUAGAACAGAAGAGAAAAGAAACAUAUCAGUCAAUAUAUGGGUCAAUAAAUCAUGCUUCAUCA